GGGAUAGAAAAUAAAAUUAAACUAAGAAACAAACCUGGGACGGAUUCAAUCCAUCAUAAAUUGCAAUAUUUUUUGGCAAAUUUUAAAACCGACAAUGCUCGCUGGUUAGCUUUGUCCAUGUUGAUGGCCAGGGCGAACUGGGUGUUGGCGGCAGUUUUGGUCGAUGGUGGGAGCAUGGGGUUCGUUGGUUGAGAGGUGGCGGAUGCUCUGGUGUUGAGAGAGGCGGCGCUUGUCGCUAUUUAUGUUGGUGGCAGCGGCAGGUGGAAGUUGUGGUGUCGGUUGGAUAGAGAACGGCGGUGCCUAACGACGAGGGCUAUUGGUGAUGGUCACUUGUUUCGCUGGUGGGAAACGAAGAGAGAGAAAAAAAGGUAUAGGAAGAGGGGAGGCUUCUUCGACCAUGGUUGUGCCUAUGGUGGAAGAGGUGGCGAUCAGCAGCAGCCAUGGCUAUUGGCAGAGAGAUGAGAGUGAAAG
rnacentral:lncRNA from 1 species